rnacentral:lncRNA from 1 species
ACAUUAUGUCCAACAAAAUUCAGAGGAUGAUUAGGCAAUUUCACCCAUUUUAAUAGAAUGAACACAUUGUUGUGUUUAUUAUAUUGCUGUGUUUAAUAUAAGAAUACAAAACACAUUAUAUAACGAUAACAUUAGUACAAUAUUAACACCAAAUAAUAUAAAUUCUUUUAAAUAGAUAAAUAAAAUAUACUAAAAAUAUUUUGAAAUCCACUUUUUUUUUUUUGGUAACCGAGUAUCCUGGCCCCAUCGUAGUGGUCCAGACUAGAGACCGAAAUGAGCAAAAACGCUACCAGGACGUCACCAUGUGGCUCACCGCGAACGGUCUUCGGUCUCGGGCGCGGGGGUUCCGCAUGUGAAUUCUCCAGUGGUCGGGUUUCGAACUCAGGUGGCGGAACUCACAGCCGUGAGUCCUUUACCACCAGAGCUAGAAGCCCCGGUUCUUGAAAUCCACUUACUUUUGAUUGUUUUUAGUCUUCAAAAGUUUUACGGGUUCCGUGAACUUCAUAAUCUCAGUACGU